rnacentral:piRNA from 3 species
UGCCUAAGGAGGGGUGAACCGGCC